rnacentral:rRNA from 1 species
GGGGAAUAUUGGACAAUGGGCGCAAGCCUGAUCCAGCCAUACCGCGUGGGUGAAGAAGGCCUUCGAGUUGUAAAGCCCAUUUGUUGGGAAAGAAAUCCAGCCGGCUAAUACCUGGUUGGGAUGACGGUACCCAAAGAAUAAGCACCGGACAACUUAGUGCCAGCAGCCGCGGUAAUACGGAGGGUGCAAGCGUUAAUCGGAAUUACUGGGCGUAAAGCGCACGUAGGCUGCUUUGUAAGUCAGGGGUGAAAUCCCACGGCUCAACCGUGGAACUGCCUUUGAUACUGCUUAGCUUGAAUCCGGGAGAGGGUGGCGGAAUUCCAGGUGUAGGAGUGAAAUCCGUAGAUAUCUGGAGGAACAUCAGUGGCGAAGGCGGCCACCUGGACCAGUAUUGACGCUGAGGUGCGAAAGCGUGGGGAGCAAACA